rnacentral:tRNA from 1 species
GCCCCUAUAGCUCAAUGGAUAGAGCAAUCCCGUCCUAAGGGAAAGAUAUGGGUUCGAUUCCUGUUGGGGGCA